rnacentral:lncRNA from 1 species
UAAUGUUGCCCCUCCUUCUCCUUUCCCUUUCUGUCAUGCAUGAGCCUGUGAAAUUAUAGUGGCAGUUUCAAGUUGCUUUGUCCAGCCCAUUUUCCUUACAAGGGUUGGAUGACUGAACCAGAAAACCCCUAGCAAAAAGGACUUCAAUAAUUUAAAAUUUACAAAUAUUAUCUAUUUCUUACCAUAGAGGAAAAGUACAGCUAUAAAUUCUACCCAAAAGUCUGUUGCCUUCGAAUGUCAGCAGCUGCUUGCAGUUGGCUUAAAAAUACAUGGUCUUGGAGAUCAUAUUUUUAAAUUAUGGCCAACAAUUUUAGGCUGAGAUGUGCUGCUAUAUUUCCCGUUUGAUUUUGCUUCAAUAAUUUACACUUAUUAUAAGUGAAUAUUUAGUGUGUUUCUAACUGAUGUCUGUGGGCUUGGCUAAUUGAUCUACUUCUCAUUCAACAGAACAUACAGACAGCUUUAUUUUCAGCUACACAAACAAAGAAGGUUUGUUCUUCAUUUUCCAUCUUCUGUCUAGUUCUUUCGCUAAAAGUUUAUUUUAAUCUAAUCUCAAUUUAUAAGAAUUUUAAUAUAAGUUUUUUUGUUUAAUUUGAAAAUCAUGGCCUGCCCAUUAUUUUUGUGAAAUUACUAUUAUACCCUUGACCUUAUUUAAAAACUACAGACAUGCCACUCAAUUUUCUUUUCUGAAACAUUAAAAGCGAUAUCAUUUUCUCCUCCUCUAGCCAUUGCAGUACAACCUCCGUCCAUCUCCUACCGUCAGCCAGGCCGCGACCGUUGCCUUCUCUAACUCUCCAUCGAACUCGAAACCCACACUCAUCUCACUCGUCUUCUUCUCUUUUCUCUCUAUAUUGAUCUUUGAUUCCUCUUCAUUUGUGUCCAUCUCUCCCACAAACCUUAGCUGAGUAAGUGUAAAUUUUGUUUUUGUUUGGUAAUUAUACUGCUUCAUUUUCCUAUUGUUUGUUGAUUAAUUUCGUUUUUUGAUUUGGUUUUUAACUUCAACUUUCCUAUAACCCUAGGCAAAACAAAAGGGGGAAAAUGAAAAAGUAAAUCACAAACUGUAGUGUUGAUUUAAAUCGAUCUUGAUUCUCAAUUAUAAUGUUUCAAUUGUAAUAUUGAUUUCUAAUAGUUGAACUGUUUGCUUGCUUAUUCUUCCCAUUUAUUAGGUGCCUUACAGAAAUUGUUGAUUGAUACAAAAGAAAUGUAAUAAUAUAUUUGGAUGAAACAAUUAAGACAACGUGCCAUGUACACCUAUAGAAUGUUGAUAUAUACAUCUUUUAAUCAAAAGCCUUCCUAGGUAGUUAGGUUGAAAUGUUUCUUUUUCAAUUGUAAUGUUGAUUUAUAAUAGUUUUGAAGUGCUUGAUUGCUUGUUCAUACCAUACCAAAACAGAGAAAGAGUCGAUUUUGAAAUUGAAAUGCACUUCAUUAAGAGUCUUUAACACAUUAUAUCAUUUCGAUAAAUGCAUUUAUUAGUUCCGAGUCAAUUAUUGAUGAUUUAGUAUAAAAGCUAUGAAGAUGGAGAGAUGACAAUAGAUUUUUGGGACUGUUCUGUUGUUGUUGCGGCUGCUAGGUGCUGUCUAUACUCUAUAGCUUGUGUUUUGUUUCCUACUCUCUGGAUUUUAUAGGAGCAUGCUGAUAUUGGAUUUUUUUUCCUUCUGUUUUUAGGCUUUGGUUUUGGAGUUUUUUAGUGUAUUAUGUGAGCAAUUGGCAUCAGUCCAAUCCUCUAGUUUCCUUGUGUACCUCUUAACUCCCCUCUUCUGUUUUGGAGUUUUUUAGGCUAGUGUAUUAUGUGUAUUAAGUGGGUAUGCUGGUGCCUUUGUGUGGCUUUCUAGUUUCCUUGUGUACCAGUAGACUUAGUUUGGCUUCUUUAAGUAUUUUUACAAUUGGCAUCAGUCCAAUCCUCUACCUGCUACGUCUUGUUCAGGUGGAGUGUAUUAAUAAAUUCGCCGUUUGAAAGAAAUAUAUGAUUUAUAUAUUUUAGUUUAUUUGAUAGCGGCCAUCCCAUUUUUUUUUGUCUGGCUCCGCCACUGUCUGCGCUUGGUUGCUUUAUAGUUCAUUUCAUUUUGGGUGUAGGUCCUCCAGAUUACCAAACAAAAUAAAAUAUGAGAACCUUUGUCAAGAUGAAACUUCAGAGGAUGAUUCUACAAUUCAUUUUCUUUCAGUUUUUCAGUAAUACAAGUUUUUCUUUCUUUAAAUUCAAUUUCUUUGGUUCCUAACAAACCAUUAAAAUUGGUGGCAGCUCUGUUGGUUCCUAGAUGUGUCUCAACACAGAUUACAAUUUUUUAACCCAGAACUCAUUUUCAUUUCAGAGUUCAGAUCAUAUGAAGUAAACGGUGUGUAGUUAAUCAUAGGUAACAUAAAUUAUCAACUGGUGUAUUUUCCUCUGAGGCAAUUAAGGAAUUCCAAUACUUAGUGAAAGGGUUCGGAGUACCUUGUAUUGAAAAGCCAUCAAUUUGACCAGCCAUUUUCUUAUUGAUGAAUCAUCAUAUACUGAACGUCAAGUUUAGGUGAAAGCAAGCUCCCAAUUUCGAAGGGUCUAUAAUAAAUAUUUUUCUUAUGACUUGCAUUUUAUUUUUGUUUAUUUUUGCAUUUUGUAUUUUAUUUGUUAUUUGUUAUUUGAUGUUGAUUGUGGACAAUAUAACUCAAUGUUUGCAUGAGUUUCAUAAUGUCUUAUGUACCUGAUAUAAGAAAGCUGUAAUCAAUUUGUAGGAUGAACUGCUGAUCUCAUCCCAGCUUUGGUUUUUGCGGAAAGAAAAGGCCCUGAAAGCAGAAAAUAUUCUCAAUUCAUCAGAAUAUUAUCUAAUCUUCUUGUAGAAAAUGGCUGCCGAAGAUAAUAAGGAUCUUAUUGAAAUCGUUGAAAACUUGAACUCAAUCGAUGUUGCUAAAUAUAUGAAUUUUGUCAGUGCCCCACAAGCUGGUGCUAUAGCUACAUUUUCAGGCACCACUCGUGACACUUUUGAUGGAAAAAUAGUUGUGGAAUUGAUAUACGAAGCUUACAUUCCAAUGGCAAUACGUUGUAUCAAGUCCGUCUGUUCAUCUGCUAGAGAAUCCUGGAAUCUACAUUCCAUUGCUGUUGCUCACCG